UAAUGGUGCUUUUACAUAUUUGUGGUUGCCUGUGUAUGCCUGUGCGUGAACCAGGGUUUUAUGAGGAGAAUUGCGUUGGUAUGCUUCAAAUAGUAUCCAACACCAAAGAGACAUGUCUACAAUUUUUCAAGGUAGCUCAUGUUUGUGACCUCUUUCAGGUAAUAUCAAGUUGAACGCUGACGGAAGCAGUGGAGGCAGAUCUGGACUUGGAGGAUUUGGAGGAUUUGGAGGCCUUUUUUGCGAUGAAGCAGGCAGCUGGAUCAGCUGCUAUUACGGAAGGUUGGAAAAUUGUACCAGCUUGGAAGCUAAGAUAUGGGCAGUGUACAAAGGACCGACAAUACUCCUACAACGCUGGAUGACUUAAGGUGACAGUUGAGACUGAUGCAGCGCAAGUUGUCGAGCUAAUGGAGGAAGGCCCAGAUAGAAACUGCUCUUUCAGAGGUCUGAUUGAAGAUGGACGAGUCAUUCUUCAAGGUUGUGAAUGCUCAAUUCAACACAUUCUCCGUGAAGGCAAUGGGUGUGCUUAUGCGCUUGCCAAACUCGGGGCAGAGCAGCCCAAUGAUUUAAUGGUAGUAAAUGAUCUACCAGAGGUGAUCCGAAGCUUGUUGGUGGCUGAUAUGAUUGGCCUUUCUAUGGAAAAGGUGUAGUUUCUUUGCUGUAAUUUUCAUUCAAAAGUAUCGAAAAAAAGAAGAAGGAAGAUGUUAUGUUUGUUUAAAUUAAUGGUUGAACAAUAGGCAAGUUUACGUUUUGAAAAAUUAUGUCAGAUUAAUAUUCAAUAAUAUGUUUGCUUAAUGUUA